rnacentral:lncRNA from 1 species
AAGCAGAGUUAAAUAAUUACAAAAUUACAUUCUUGAUUGCACAGAAAUGAUAUAUAGCAAAACAAGCAUAAGGAAAUAACAAUAUAAUUUUACAUUGUUCAGCUUUUGGUCUACGUCACAGUCAAAGACGGGAAGAGAAUUUUACUAAGAAAUAAGAGUGUACUAAUGUUAAAGAAAAACAUUCACUAAUCGCUGAUAUAUGCUUAAUUUCUCACCCACUAAGAACGUUCAAUUCACUCAAAUGAAACUUUCACAGGAAGGUCUCAUUUUUAAGGCAUUAGCUUCACUUCACAUGCUCAGCAAUUCAAAUUUGAGGAUGAUAUUUCUCAAAAUUGAGGGCUCUAUUUGGCUUGCCAACAAUCUUCCUCACCACUAUCAUCCUUGCUAUACCGGUUGCACUGAACAAUCUUCAUUCUGACAUUUGCACUAUUAACCUGAGUGCACAAGAAUCCGAAACAACUGUUAGAAAUUUUAAUCUUUAUAUAUAGCCAAAAUGGUGAAUAAGAUGAUGUACUUGAUAACAAAAACCUGAUUUAAUAAAUAAUUAAGCGGCCGAUAACAAGCACAGAAUCUCAUCGUGUGGGGAAAGCCUUGACAACAGAAGAUGGUGCUUUCAUUCAAGCAAUGAUAACUUUCCAAUUUCAUAAGGUAGCUUAAUGCCCUUUUAAGAAUAUCUGCACCAGCCUGACAAUUAUUGAUGGAAAUUCAAAUUCAGAAUCAUGUUCGUAUGAGAGAUGAAAUGUAAUGAGCGACUUGGCCACCAUAUAUGCAUUUAUCAUCUUCAAUUUGCUCAUCUUUGUCUAGAGUAUUGCUUCUGCGUUAACUUAAUUAGCGUGCAAGCCACCUGAAAAUGGUUUUAAAUAAUGAGAGAGAGUCUGAAUUCGAAUGAAUUAAUCAAAUAUGAUGACAGAAAACAAAAAAGUAAAAUAACCACAAGAAGUAGAAAUAUACUUUUGUUAGAUUUAGAGCAUAAUUCUUCUGUCAAGUUCCUUUCCAUUAGCCUUGUUUCUGUGUGUGCUCAAACGCAAUUCCUCAACACUCGAGAUAGUUUCUGCAGACCUGAAAAACUGGUUGUGGCCCUAAGGAACUUGAAAAUUAGAAAAGAUUCAGAAUGAGUGACUAAAUAUUUUAAUCAAAACUAAUUAAACAUACACGCCCUGAAAAUCUGAAACUGAAUUACUCAAAUGAAUAUGCCUCUUCACAGCAAUUGGUUGAAACUUUACUGCAAAGACUUUUUGAAACCCUUGAAGAUGAUACUCUACCUGAUAACACAAGGAAACACAAUCAAUAUAAGAAGAUAAUUUUACAAACAAAUGAAAGUUUGCAAUUAUUGGGAGAGCUCUACUCAAAUUUAAUGAGAUAUCUCUCAGAAGGGAGAGCUCUAAUAAUAUAUAAAGCCAAAAAUCUAACACUCAUCAAAUUGGCUUGUAAACAAUUAAUCUUCCUUACCAUUAUCCAUGCCAGGCGUGGUGAUCAAUCUUCAUUCUGACAUUUGCCUUAAUAAGCUGCUCAGUAUCCUUAACCUGAUAACUCACUCAAACAAAAACAAUUUUACUAAAGUUCAUUUUUUCAAGGCAAAACAGUAAAGAAGAUGAUAAAUGCUGAUACAAAAAAUUGACCUGAGUUGUCCUGUUGUCAAGAAUCACAGCGCCUCAUGUGGGCAAGAUCAUCGCAAUACAAGAUGCCGAAUUCAAGCAACAUUAAAUCACCUGUAAUUUAAUUAAGACAAUAACUUUCCUCAACUAUUACCCUUCUCAAUUUCAAUGUAUUAUUGGCAACUAAAUUCAUAGGGGACGUAGCAAAUUAAAUGCCCUUUUAACAAUAUCUUCCCCACCUAACAAUUAUUUGGAAAAUCUAAAUGACAAUCAUGCAUUGAUGGCAUAAAAAAUUGGCCACAAAGCUGCCUAGAAAACGGCUUUAAAUUCUUAAUGAGACAACGUAUUCGAACAAAUAUGGUGAAUGAAGAGACAAAGGCAUAACACCUCAAGAAGUAAAGCUUUGUUUCUGUAUGUGCUCAAACCAAUGGAAACCCAUGGAAAUGAAUUUCUACGAAUUAGACAUGUCAGCCAAAACAGGUACUCUGUACAAGCAAAGUAAAAGAGAGUUACAAAAAUUUUUAAGAUAAUUAAACUUUUAGUCACCAUAUAAUUAAUAGAAAACUUUGUACACAAUGAUUUAUAUGAGAUUAAGAUUGUAUACCUAAGUUUUAAUUGCAAACUAAAUAUACACAACAUGAUAUUAGCAUUAGAAGACUGAACCAAAACGUACCGAAUUGAAUGUACCUUUUAACGGCCAUUGUACAUGCAUUGAAAGUUUACCGCAAAAUCUGUUUCAAACGUGAUGCAUCUUAGAGAUGCAAGAUGAGAAAUUGUUAGUACAACUAGCAUUGAAACACGUGUGAAAACUGUUAAUGGACCUAAAUAACUUGAAAAUCAGAAAAGAUUAGGAAUGAGUGACUAAGCCUGCUAAUCGCAACUAAACAUACAAACCUUGAAAAUCCAAAAUUGUACUCGAUGAAUGUGCAAUUGCUCGAGCAGGUAAAUUUACUGCAAAGGCUCUUACAAACCCUCAAAGAUGAUACUCUACAUACCAUGGUAACCUGAAUAACAAAAAGAAACACAGUGAAUAUUAAAGGGCAUUCUGACAAUGCAAAUUUGUGCAAAUUAACAACUGCGGUUACCUGCAUAAUAGUGUUAAUACUGAAUUCCUUCCUCCAUGGAAGCAUAUGAUCAGCCCACAUGUGCUUUGCUCUGUAGCUUUUGAGUACCUGAAAUUGUUAUUACAACCAACGGUGAAAAUUGGGUGAAAAAAUGGUAAUAUUAGCAUAAUUGAAUUUGCUUAUAGAGGAUAAACCGAUCAAAGAAAACAACAAGAUAGAAAUGAUUAUCUUAGUACCUUAAUAUCAUGCAAUAAAAAUCAUCAUGCCUUCCAGGCAGCUAUCCAUCCUCAAUUGAAACAGAGCAGACCUGGCCAUCACUUCUUCAAAGUCCAGCAACUGAACGUUGCACACAACACCACAGUGGAAGUAGUUCCAUCACCAGCCUAAUCCUUGAUUACCCCAAUGUUCUCCAUAGGGUCUUCAAAGUCAACCUAAAAAUAAAAUGAAAAUCCAAUGCAUUAUUAUUAGGGAUCUAGUGCUUGAGUUUGCUUUGACAUCAUGGUAUUAGCAAAUUCUGAUAUAGCCAAAAUGGUGAAUAAGAUGAUGUACUUGAUAAAAAAAACCUGAUUUAACAAAUAAUUAAGAAGCAGGUAACAAUCAGAUAAUCUCAUCAUGUGGGGAAUGCCUUGGCAACAGAAGAUGGUGCUUUCAUUCAAGCAAUAGCAACUUUCCAAUUUCAUAAGGUAGUUUAAUGGCCCUUUUAAGAACAUCUGUACCAGCCUAACAAUUAUUCAUGGAAAUUAAAAUUCAGAAUCAUAUUAGAUUGAGAGAUGAAAUAUAAUAAGCAAUAUGCAUUUAUCACCUUCAAUUUGCUCAUCUUUGUCUAGAGUAUUGCUUCUGCAUUAACUUAAUUAGCUUGCAAGCCACCUACAAAUGGUUUUAAAUAAUGUGUGAGAGUGUGAAUUCGAACGAAUUAAUCAAAUAUGCUGACAGGAGAAACAAAAGUAAAUAACCACAAGAAGUAGAAAUAUACUUUUGUUAUAUUCAGAGCAUCUUCUUGCGGCAAGUUCUUUUCCUUUAGCUCUGUUUCUGUUUGUGCUCAAACGCAAUGGCUCAAGGGUCAAGAUAAUUUUAUGACCAUCAAUCUUUUUGCAGCCACAUGCAGACUUGAAAAACUGGUCGUGGCCCUAAGGAACUUGAAAAUUAGAAAAGAUUCAGAAUGAGUGACUAAAUAUUAUAAUCGAAACUAAUUAAACAUACACGCCUAGAAAAUCUGAAACUGAACUUCUCAAAUGUAUAUGCCUCUUCGCAGCAAUUGCUUGUGGUGGAAACUUUACUGCAAGGACUUUCUCAAACCCUUGAAGAUCACACUCUACCUGAUAACAAAGAAACAUAGUCAAUAUACGAAGAUGAUUUUACUAACAAGUGAGUGCUUACACAUAUUGGAAGGAUAAUGAUUACUCAUAAUAUCUCACUCAAGUGAGUACGAGCUCCCAGAAUUCACUACUGUGAAACUCUUACAACAAAAUUCCGUUCAAAGAUUCUCUACUCAAAUUUGAUGAUGAUGUCCCUCGAAAGGAGGCAAAAAAUCUAACACUGAUCAAAUUGGCUUGUGAACAAUUAAUCUUCCUGGCGAUCAUGCAUACCAGGUGUGGUGAGCAAUCUUCAUUCUGACAUUUGCCUUAAUAAGUGGCUUAGUAUCCUUAACCUGAUAACUUACACAAACAAAAACAACUUGAUUAAAGUUUAAUAUUUAGAGGCAAAACAGUAAAGAAGAUGAUAUAUAUUGAUACUAAAAUUUGACCUGUGUUAUCCUGACGUCAAGAAUCACAGCAUCUCAUGUGGGCAGAAUCUUCGCAGUACAAGAUGCUUGCAAAAUUGAAGCAGCAUCUUAUCACCUGUAAUUUAAUUAAGACAAUAACUUUCCCCAACCAUUUCAAUGCAUUAUUGGCAACUAACUUCAAAAGAUGCUAAUUAAAUAGCCUUUGAACAAUAUAUUCUAAUUCUUCUCCAAUCUAACAAUUAUUUGGAAAAUCUAAAUGACAAUCAUGCAUCGACGGCAUCAAAAUUUGGCUACAAAGCAGCCUGGAAAAGGCUUUACUCUCUGAAUGAGAGCAUGAAUUCGAAACAAAUAUCAUGAAUGAAGAAACAAAGGCAUAAUACCACAAAAAGUAAAACUUUUUCCCAGGGCUCUCUGUUUCUGUUUGAACUAAAACCAAUGGAAACCGAUGGAAAUGAAUUUCUAGGAAUUAGACAUAUCAGCCAAAACAGGUACUCUGUACAAGCAAAGUAAAAUAGGGUUACAAAAAAUUUUAAGAUUGAUAUGAUAAUUAAAAUUUCAGUCACCAUAUAAUUAAUAGAAAACUUUGGACACAAUGAUUUAUUGCAUAUUAAGAUUGCUAUAUAAAAUAUAAUAUUAGCAUUAGGAGACCGCACCAAAGCAUACCGAAUUGAAUGUGCCUUUUCACAGCCAUUUUACAAGCUUUGAAGCUUCACCACAAAUGCUUUUUCUAACCCGUGAACAUGGUGCACCCGAGAGAUGCAAGCUAUGAAAUUGUUACUACAGCAAGCGUUGGAACAUUUGUUAAAAAAGGAAGUUUAUGAAAAUACGCCUUUGGAUACCAGUCUUCAGGAAUCAAUUCAUCCGUAAUAACAAUUUUCAAGAAGUAUCAACUGCUUUAAGCUCAUCGACAUCACAAAGAUCUUCAACUAAAAUAGAGCAGAUCCGGCCAUCACUAUCCCUUCUACUGCUCUUUUCCUUUAGAGAAUGAUUGAAUUACAGAAUGCGUGUAAGGCAUUCUUAUUCAAGGUCCAAUGAUCAAACCUUGCACUAUAACAACAGAGGUAGUAGUUUCUUCGCCAGCCUAAUCCUUGGUCUCAGGAAUGUCCUCAACAGAGUACUCAAAAUCAACCUAAAAAUUAAGAAUGAGUUGGAAAACUGUUUAUGGCCCUAAAGAACUUGAAAAUCAGAAAAGAUUAAGAAUGAGUGACUAAACAUUUUAAUCGCAACUAAACAUCCAAACCUUGAAAAUCUAACUUUGAAGUACUCUUGAAUGAAUGAGCAAUUGCACGAGCUGGUGACAACUAAGGUUACUGUGAAGUCUCUUACAAAUCCUUAAAGAUGAUACUUUACAUACCACAAUAACCUGAUAACACAUAGGAACACAAUAAACAUUAAAGUGUAUUCUGACAAUGCAAAUUUGUGGAAAUCAUCAGCUGUGGUUACCUGGACAAUAUUGCCAACACCAAACUCCUUCCUCAAUUGAAACAUAUGAUCAGCCCACAAAUGCUUUGCUUUGUAGCUUUUGAGAGCCUGAAAUUGUUAUCACAACCAACAGUGAAAAUUGGGUGAAAAAAUUGAUAAUAUUAGCAUAAUUCCAUAUGUUUAUAUAGGAUAAACCGAUCAAAGAAUGAAAAAAGAUAGAAACAGAGCAGACCCAACCAUCACUUUCUUCUUCAAAGUCGCACCAUAACCACAGUGGUAGUCGUUCCACUGCCAGCCUAAUCCUUGGUCAACCCAAUGUUCACCAUGAAGUAUUCAAAGUCAACCUAAAAAUAAAUAAAAAUGCAAUGCAGGUGGAAAUGAAAAUUCUAUAAAUUAAAUAAAAUAAAAAUGCAAUGCUUGAGCUUGAGCUUGCUUUAGCAUCAUCGUAAUAGUACAUUUUGAUAUAUCUUUACUUCUCUGUUCUUGUUUAUUCACAACAAGAUAUCAAUAGAAGGAGAUGGAAAUGAAAUUCUAUAAAAUAAAUCAAGUGAAUUACCAGUAGAACAUUUUAGCAAUCCUUUGGGUAAACUUUUCAUUUUCAUAGUCUUGCUCUCCUGCCUGCAUCAUUAAAACCAAAUUAGCUUGUACCAGGCAAUUGCUAGUGUGGUUCUGACAUUUCCUCGAAUCCCUGGUGAACAUAAUUAAACUCGUAUGAAAUAAAACAAAGUGGGCUAAUGUAGUAAAAACAAUUCCACAAUUACUUUAAAGAAUUAAUGUCACAUAAAUUAUAUAUAAAAAAAAACGAUUAUCAUUAUAUAAGAUAAAAUUGAUAAUUUAGUUUUCAACAUUACUCCAAACGUAUCACAGAGAUUUUGUCUCUCAGCAAGUUACACAUAACAAAUUUUCGUACAUUAAAAAAUAAAUUACAUUGCACGAAAUUUUACAAAAGAGCACAUAUUUUGUUAUUUUUUAUUAUUUAAUCCUUAGAAAACAAGUUUAACAGAUUUGAUAACUAGGAAGUUUUACGUAUUUAUACCAUGAUUGAUUCUAUAUAGAAUUUUAAUUCAAAAUAUAAUUAUUUUAAUCAAUUUCAUUGCAAGCAACAACGAAGUAAAUCAGAGGAGGAGGAGAAAUUACCGGCGAGUGAUAAAUUACGGCUACCACUUGAUGUGGGGAAUGUGAGAUAUCUUAUACCAGUCUUCUCCUUCCCCCACUCUAUAACGGUUUUCCAGAAGAGGACAUUUCCAAAUUGUCAAAUCCUGCAGUGCCGUCGUUCGAAGGAGGUAAUCCGGCAGCACCUUUAAUUUGGGGCAAUGCUCAAUUUCCAAGGAAGAAAGACGUGGUAUGUCUGUUGUCCUGUGAUCUUCUAGAAUGGGCAGUUCUUCUAGAAGAUCACAAGAAAAAAUACUCAAUUUCUGCAGUGCCGUCGUUUGAAAAAGGUAAUCCGGCAGCGCCUUUAAUUUGGUGCAAUACCAAAUCGUCAAGGAAGAAAGACGUGGCAUGAUGGAGAUGUUUUCCUUCCUCGUAAUCCUGUAAUUCCACUCUUCCAAUUCUUCCAAGCCCCAAAUUUCGAGAGAUUUCAAUUUGGGGAAGGCAAUAACUGAUGAUGACGAUGAAGAUGAAGAUGGGUCGUCCUCACUGCUUUCUUCUAUUCCCAAAAACUCAUUACCCACUCUUUUUACACUUUUCAAGUUGCGUAGUUCGAGUUUUUCCAGAGGCAAUUUUCCCAAAGGAGGCAAAUGCUCACAAUUAACGCAGGAGAGAAGUUUUAAAUUCCUUAGAUUGGUUAGUGAAGUCAACCAUUUGGGAAAAAUGUUGCCUCCGUAGGAUUCAAUCCAUAAUUCCUCUACAUUCAAAGGCGGUUGUAAGGCUUCAAGAAGUUGUUUAUCUUUCUCAAUAUUCAUCCUCCUCCCUUCUUCGCCUUCCCCAUCUACGACUCCACCAAACACAAGACGCAAACGAAGGAGGUUUUUCUUAUUGUAAAGUUGUAACCUCUCAGCCUCAUCUAAAUGUGACACAUUACCCAGCCCUUCUAUUCCACAUUCUCGAAGGAGUUGAAGAUUUUUCAGAGAUUCAAGCCUACACGUAUUGCUACCAUCAACACCUCCACCCACCACAAACUUGUCUAAUGUUCGAAGACUGGUUAAUUUGGAAAUCCCUAUUGGCAUGUAUUUCAACGAAUCAGUUUCACCAUUCAGUAAACUCCUCAUGUUCUUUAACUUCCCAAUCCCCGCUGGCAAUUCCCUAAGAUUUUCGCAACCCCUAAUAUCUAGCUUUUGUAAAUUAUAUAAUUCACACAAAGUCUCAGGCAGUCUCUCUAUACAUAAUUUAGACAAAUUAAGAUAUUUUAAAUGUAUCGAUUUUCCAACAUUUUCUGGAAUUUCUCUAAUCAAAUUUGAGUAGGACGAUUGGCUUAUAACUAAUGCCCUUAAACACGCCAAUUUACUAAAUAACUCCAGAAGGACGCUACUAUUAAGAGACGGAUUGGAAGGACUUUCAUCAUUAAUUAGGAUGGUACGCAAUCUAUUAAGUCCGUGAAUGGAUAUAGGAAAUGAAGCGCCUCCUUCAAACUUUAACCCUAAGUGACGGACUUUGUCGCCAAAAGAGUUUAUGACUGAUUCUUUGGUACCAUUAAUUUCUAGCCACAAACAUUCUUUUCUACUUAUAAAUUGGGCAAAAUCAUGUACUAUGUCAUGCAUCUUGCAACUCAGAAUAUCAUCAUCGUCAUAAUCUUUUUCAAACUCUUGAAAGAAAGAGCGUGUUGCUAAGAUGUUGAAAUACUCUUCUCCAAUCAUCUCCAUUUCUUCGUCUUCUUCUGCGUUAAAGUAACCUUGAGCCAUCCACAAACUAAUCAAUUCUUCUUUAUUCAUACUGUAGUCUUUUGGAAAGACAGCACAAUAUGAGAAACACCGUUUUACCAUCGAAUUGGAGGGCAAAUCGUUAUAACUCAACAACAAAGGAGCCAAAAGACCUUGCCCAAUCUCUUCAAAUUUCCACAUUUCACUAUCUAACAUUCUUUGCCACUCUUUUACUGUAAUUUUAGAGCGCAAGAGAUUCCCUAUUACCUUUGCAGCAAGAGGCAGGCCUUUGCACUUGCGUGCAAUUUUUCGCCCGAUUGGUUCUAAUCUUUCACAAUCCUCGAAACAGCGACCGAAAAAUGCUAACUGCUUGAAAAACAACCAGCAUUCCUCUUCAGCCAGUUGUUCAAUGGAGAUAGUAUCUGACUCUGUUGUUCCCAUCAUACGUGCAAUUGACUCAUUACGUGUGGUAACCAAAAUUUUACUUCCGUGGAGACCAUUCUUUAGACAAAAGAAGAAUGGAUCCCAUUUAUUGGAAUCCCCAUCCCAUACAUCAUCUAAGACAAGAAAAAUUUUUUUUCCUCCAAUUGAUCUAUGGAUAUGGCUCAUAAGAGAUUGGAAUUCGCUUAAACUAGAAGCUUCUUUUGAUUCGCCUAGACCUUCAAUGAUUGCUUUGGCGACCCUAAUCUCCUCAAAAGUGUCUGAUACACACACCCAUAUAACUUUGUCAAAAUUUCUUUUCACCUCAUCAUUAUUAUAGGCUAGUUGUGCAAGAGUGGUUUUACCUAUACCCGCGAACCCAACCAGUGAGAUGAUAUGAGGGUGUUGUUCACUACUUUCACACAACAACUUGGUUAAGAGCUUAUUUUUCUCAUCAUCUCUACCAAAAACCUUCCUCUCAUCAAUCAAGGAGGUGGUUCGCACUCGCUCUGGUUUCUUAACAUUGUUACUCACAUUCUCAACAAAUUUGAAAUUAUCUUUUUGUCUGGCAAUAUCAUCUAGCUUUUCACGGAUUUCUCUAAUCUUGACAGCAAUAUCAUGACGAAGACUGAGUUGUUUGAAACCACCAAAGCAGUUUGAGGCAGCAGGAAAGAAGGAACAUACCUUCGUCAAAAGAGUAACAAAAGCAUUGGCGUCAUCAUCAUCAUCAUCAUCGCCGCCCUCAUCAAGCUGCAAUUUCCGUGUUUCAGUGAUCCACUCAUCCAACACAUCUUCCAUGUCGUAGGAUGCGUCUCUGAGCUCAUCCAGCCAAUCAGUAACAGCUUUGUCGAGCUUCAUUUGCCUCUGCUCUGCAUCUUCCAGCACAGCUUGAAUGGCUCGAAGAUUUUUGGUAAGCUUUUCCACUUCUUUUUCGACACCCGUCACAAGCCUCCACUUUUCUUUCACCUGAUCUUGAGCAAUGGAUUUCAGCUGGUCCAGGAGAGAGGAAACGAUCGCAAGAGCCAUUCUGAUAUUAGAUCAAAUGGUAAAUGCUGCGAUUGCUUUUCUUGCUGCUAAAAUGCUCAGAGGAAAGUAGGUUUUAUGUAUUCUGUGAGAAUGUUCAUUCAAGCAUGUUUGCAUUCUUCUUAUACGUGCAAAUUGAAGGAGUCACCAUCUGGGGCUAGCUUUCUGCUCCACCACGUCAAUAAUUGUACAGCGUCUGCUCUGUUUCUCUGAUUCAUAAUAAUUCAUUAUUAAUUCUGCAGAGUACACAGCAUCAGCACUUGUGAAAUUUCUUACAUUUGUAUUUAGUUACAUGCUGCUCUUGAGAUAAUUAGUAACAAAAUAUUUGUAAACUGCAACAAAAAGCUUUGUGCAAUCUAUCUAUGAAUCUUGAGAAUUCACAUAUAAUACAGUCGAUUUAAAAUAGUCAUAAAUUUUUUUUAUUAUAAAUAUUAGUAUAUUUGUAAUGGUAUAAUAUAUAUCGAUGAAACUAUAUAGAGUAAUUUCGCCUAAUUGUAUAAAUUCAUUACGAAUAUCAUCACAAAUUUGUAUUUGGUCGGGACGGUGCGAGUGAAUUUUUUUAUAAAAUCAUCUCCUGACAAUUUAUUUAUUAUAUUUUUCAAUUUAGCUUUACCGUAUGGAUCCAUUUCUUAUCUAUAUGGCCUUUUAUUAUCAGGUAGGCCAAGGCCAUUUGGUCAUUUGAAAAAGUAUGUGAUUCCGUUUUAGUCUAUUAGGUCACGACAAAAAGAGAAUUGGAAAAUGUAACAUUCUCAAAUUAAUUUGUAGUGGAAAAGAGAAAAAUAAGACAAAAGUUGGAAAAAUCAUGCAGCCGACCCUUUUUUCUAUCUGAUUGCGCAAUAUUAGGUAGGCGAAUGCGACUUCAUCGAUAUCACACAGCAGUGGUUCUGUCAUUAAUUUUUUUCUUUUAUUUAAUUAAGAAAAGGAAGAAAAGAUAGUACAUGUUAUGAUUAUUGUGAAUUUUCCAUCCCUUAUAUAAAUUCUCGAAUUCAUUUAAAUUGUGAGUCAUAGAAGUAUAUUACCUAAACUAUUUUAUCAGGCUAUGUUCGGAUACUAGGAUUAAGUUUGGAAUUGGACUAAUUUUGUGAUUAUAUAUUUAUAUCAUAUUUGGUAAGCUUAAUUGAAUUGGACAAAGGGACUAAAUUUAAGUUUAAUCCUAAAAUUAUGGGAUUAAUAAUCCUAAUUUACACUUUCCUUUAGUUGGGACUUGGGAUAAGAUUAAAGAAAAAAGUUAUCCAUUUAUGAGACUUUAAUUUAUGUCAUUAUUGUUUAUUUAUACUUAAUAUUAAUUAAUUUAUUAAUUAAUUUAUUUUUUAAUUUAUGAUUUACUUAAAAUUUAUUUUUAUUUAUUAUCUAUCAUCUGAUUAAAUUAGAACUUUACUUCUACUAACUCUUGAGAUUAAUUUUUCAUUACUUGCGUAUUUGAUAAUUUGCCAAUAAAAUUAACCAUUUAAUAAUUUCUUGCAUUAUUGAUUGUAUUAAAUUUAAUAAUCACUAAUAUAAUAUUAAAAAUAAUCAUGAAAAUUAAUAAUACCUUCAAUUAAUUGAUUUUAUAUACUUUUUUAAAUAUUUGAUAAGAAGUUGAUAAAAAUUAAUUAAGGAUUUAAAAUUUUAUUCAUUUUUUAUUUAUUUAUUUUAUCAUGAAUACCCAGUAUCUUACAAUAUAAUUAAUUUUCUUAUUCAGACUACUCAGCAUCAGCUCCUGUAAAAUUUCUUACAUUAUAAGCAACAAAAUAUUUAUAAACUACAACAAAAGGCUUAGAUCAAUCCACCGGUGAACCUUCUGAAGUUAUAUAUAAUAUAUUAAUUGUUGAUCUAAGAAUAGUCUCAGUGGAUAGAUUUUUUAUAUUAUAAAUAUCAAUAAAUUUUUUAUCGUUUAAUAGAUAUUGAUGAAAUUAUAUGGAGUAAUUUCGCCCAAUCAUAUUAAUUCAUUAUGAAUUUCAGCACAAAUUUAUAUGUGAUCGAUCUGGACCGUGCAAGUGAAAUUUAUUUACUAUAUUUUUCAACUUUUUGUCAGGUAGGCAAAAGCAAAAGCCAUUAUCUCAUUAAUUGAUUUGGUCAUUUGAGAAUGUAACUCUAUUAUGCCGUGACAAACUCCAAGAUCUAAUUUAGAGAGCGACUCAAAUAAUGGUAAUUAGUAAUUUAUUACAUCUGCAAUUAGAUAUAUACUUUGUUUGAGAAAAAAAUAAAAUCAGUUUUAUAAUGAUUUUAAUUACAAUGAAUAUCAUGCUGUGAUCUAUGACUUGUCUGAUAUUACAAAGAGAAUAUGUGAAAGAUAACUAAGUAAUAAAAUUACAAUAAAUAUCAUCACAAAUGAAAUUUAUUUAUUAUAUUUUUCAAUUUAACGUUAACGUAUGGACCAUUUUUUGGUCUAUAUGGAUUAUGGCCGACAAUUUUUUGGCAAAAUUGUCUCAUUAAUUCAUUUGGUCAUUUGAAAAAGUUGUGGCUCUGUUUUAAUCCAGUGUCAAUAUAUAACUUUAUUAUGUCAUGACAAACUUCAAAAUCUAAUUUAGAGUGUGACUCGAAUAAUUUUAAUUAGUAAUUUAUUAAAUCUACAGUAGGAUACUUUGUUGAGAAAAAAAAAAGAAUAAAAUCUGUCCCAUAAUGAUUUUAAUAAAUAUCAUACUAUUGUCUACGGACUUACCUCAUAUUACAAAGAAUUAAAAUAUGCGAAAGAUAACUAAGGAAUAAAAUUUUUCCACAAUGAUUUAUAAAAUUGCUUUUGAAGAACGGUUAUGAUAUUAUAUUAAAUUACUAAGAAUUUAGUUAACCUCUCAAGAAGUCUAUUUGGUUGACUUCUCGAGUUUAAAAUUCGAAUGUCAAAAAAGAUAAAAGGUUAAAAAAAUAUUUUAAAUAUUCUCCACCCUUUUACUAUUUUAAUAUACAAAAAGAAGAAUUACUUGUUUUUAACAAUAGCAACCGGGGGCAUCAUAUAUCUGAUGGAUUUUUUUAAGGAACAAAACUUAUUAUAUCUCCUAUCAAAAAUGUCAUUUUUGUUAGUAAAAGGAUAUCUAUAUCUCCAAAUUUUGGAAAAAUGGUUACCAACGCUUCCAAGUCCUAAAUUUGAAAAAAGAGACACUAAAACUCAUUUUUUACUACAAUACCCUUUACUUUUAUUAUCCCAAAAGUUAACUUUAAUUUUUUUUAUAAUAAAUAGAAAUAUAAUAUUAAAAUAAAUGUAUUAAAAUUUAAAUUAUUAUGAAAAAUAAUAAUUUUAAUAUUAUUAGUAUGUGAGACUUUUUUAAUUGUAAAAUGUAUUUAAUGCAAAUAUUUAUUUAAAAUCUCUACAAUAAAUACAAAUAUAUUAUUAAAAUAAAUAUAAUAAUUUACAUAUUUAAAUUUAUUUUAAUAUUAAAGUAUUUUAAUAUUAUUAAUCUACUAUAUAGAUUACAUUAUUUAUAUAAUAUUUGUGUUUACUAAAAAUUUGCAAGUUAAAUUUUUCGGGAUACUAAAGGUAAAGAGUAUUAUGGUCAAAAGAGAGUCUUGAUGUCAUUUUUAGAAAACUUGGGGUGUUGGUGACUAUUUCUCCAAACCAUGGGGAUAUAGAUAUCCUUUUCUCUUUUUUAUUUUAAACAAGUGGUGACUAAAGAUUAAACUGUCAUAUAUUCACAAGAUAUUCACCACAAAAUUUGUAGGAAAUUUCUUCUUCCCUAAGCGGAAAAUACAAAACAAAAACAUAAUUGGCAAUUUCACUAGCAAAACUAAUAAUAUUUUGUUCCAUAUCCAGGGGUAGAGCUCGGGGUAAAUCUUCAUGAGGCCCAAAUUCAAAUUUCAAGUGUUAGCUGGGAAUUAAUUUUAGACAAUUUUAUUUAUUUAUUUAUUUAUAGCUAGUAUGUAAUUGUUAGGUAUUUCAAAAUUUGAGAAUUUUGUGAUUCUGUGAGAAUGUUGAUUCAAGCAUGUUUGCAUUCUUCUUAUACGUACCAUAGGAGAUAUUUAGUUUUUACCCUCAAGUCAAUGUCAAUGUGAACGUUGUUUUGUGCUGCAAAUUAAAGGAGUCCCCACAGGAGUCACCGAUUUGCUUUGAGAAUUUUGAGAAUUAUGUUUUGCGAGUGAAAUUGCCAUUUUGUCAUAAUGGAAUUUUGCUUUCUGAUCAAUAAUUGAGAAUUUUGCUUGUAGCUACAGGCUGCAGCGAUUUUGAUUUGACGGCUUUGAUUCAUAAUUGAAGUUACUGUUGCAAGUAAAAACUAAAAAAAUUAACAAAAUAAAAAUCAAAGACUUAGGUCCAUGUUUUAUCAAAAUUUUAAUAAAAGGCUAUUUGUCAUUUUGUCAUAAUGGAAAAAUAAUUAACAAAAUAAAAAAAUCGAAUUUACUUGAUUUUAUUUUACAAAAUAUAAAUUAAAUUUCUAUUAUAUGUAUAAAGUUUAUACAUCAAGUGGUUAGGAGUCAAAUCAAUCUUUUUAUACCUAAUUUUUAAUAUUUUACUUCGAAACCUCAAAAAUUUUUAAAGUUUGUUGGGUCACAAUCCCCGCUAGGAGUGGGCAAAUUUGUGUUCAUAUCAACUUGAAUAGGUUUUGGGUUGAUUAGGCUAGAAUUGGAUCAGAUCAAAAAGUAUGAGAGAAAUUAAUUGAGCCUCUCCCAAGAAAAAUACAUACAGAUGAUUAAUAUAUAACCAUUAAAUAAUAAAUAUGUUAGACUUACAUUUAUUUUUUAGCCCUAAAAGUAUGAAAAAAUUAAUACUUUCCGAAUUUAUUUUUUGUACCGUAAAGAAUCAAAUUACUCACAAAAUUAUUUUUAACUUUCAUCAUGCAAACAAACAAAUCAUCAUCAAUUUCAAUAGAAAAAAGUAUUCUAGGUAGAAAUGAUUUCUGUAGCAGAAUAUGAUGUAUUUGGGACUUCCAACUCUAUUAGCUAGGUUAAUAACAUGUUAAUUGUCACAUCAUUAAUUUUAGAUUAUAAAUUUUAUAUUCAAACUUUGUAUGACUGCUCCUUUUUCAAUGAUCUAACUAAUUGAUCUUGUUUCAAAAGAAACAAAAAAUAAAAAUAAAAUUAAGUAAUGCCAUGAUCUAAUUGGUCUUGUUAUUGACAUGUACUAAUGCAUUCUAUUUUUCUAAACUUUGUACAUUUUAUUGAUAUGUUUCUCUUGAGAGAUAAGAAUCAUUAUGUGGCAAAAUUUUAUUAAAGCUGGGAUUAUUUAUGUUCUAAUACUUUGAACAUUAACUUUUAUUCUACUCUUUAGAAUACCUAAAUAAUCCUUACCUAAACAUCUUUCAUAAAUGUUUUUUGCUGGGGCUGCAAAAAUUCAUAAUCUAAUAUUAGUUGAUGUGGCUUUUGUUCCAUCACAUUAAUGUAGAUAAUAAUAGUUAAUUCAUUAACAAAAUGAAAAAUGUUAGUUUACAAAAUACAAAUCCGAAUUUUUUGUGUGUGAGAGGGAAUUUAAAAGGGAGAGAUUAAACAAAUGUGGUGACAAAUUACACGUAUUACCAAAAUUGAAAAGACAAAGUUUAGGCAACUGGAAACAUCUCUGUCAAUGGCAAUGAACCCAUUACCUCCAUUUAUAAUUAACCAAAAUCAAAUAAAUUAAAAAAGAAAACACAAAACAAGGAUAACUACUAGUUGUUUUGAUCAUCCCUGCUUCUUUUCUUAGCAUAGCUCUUGUAAUGAAAAUUAACAAAAAGGGCCAAAAGGGAAGCAUUAAACACAGUAUUGAAGCACCAACCCCAAAACCCAGGGAAACCAAAUCCCGUAAAAUGAUCAUACAGCAUCAAAAUGAAAAAUGUUAUGGAUGGCUGUGAUGGGUCUGAGGAUGUGGGGUCCAAUGAGAGGUGAUGAUGAUGGUGAUGUUGAUGUUGAUGUGUGGUAGAGGAUGGAUGUGAGGGAGAGGUAAGUAAUGAUGGAGUGAAUGAGGAUGUGUGGGAAGGAAGCUAGGGUUUGGUCUUGAGUCCAUGUGAAGUUGAGGACUUGUGGGUGGCUUACAAGCAAUAUUGGAGUGUUAAGCUGACUGAAUUUGAAGCCAUGGCUGGUUUUGGGGGAAGAUUGAUUUGGGAGAGAUGAUGCUCAGAGGAAUGGGGGAGUUUAGAAAGUUUGGGAUAAUGUGAGGGGUGUUUUAGGCAUAUUUUUUCGUCUUAGCUUAAAUUUUUGUUAAAAAAAUGAUAAAUUCUUUUCUCAUAUCAAUUUAAAACUCCGAGUAUGUUUCCAAUUCUUCUUCUAUUUUUGGAUUUUGGAUCAUAAUUUUUGAAUCCAAUAACGGCCUCUUUAAUUAUAAAAUAUGGUAAAAGGGGAUGGGAUAUAGUGUCUUAGGCCUUUGUUUCAACGGCAUCUUUGGACGCGGGUUUCUUUUUUUUCUUUUUUUUUUUGGUUAUUUCUUCUCAAACUUGUGCAGAUUACAUGCACUCAACGUCGAACCCUUUUGUAUGGUAAAGUACAUCGAGUAAGGAUUUCUAUAAUCAAGCUAGAAAGUACAAUUAAAAUUAGAUAUGAGUGCCGCGGAGCAUAGUUUUAAAGUUACAAUAUUAAAGUAUUUAAUAAAUAUUUAUUAUUGUGACUUAAAAAUUAAGUUGGGAGUAUAAAAAAAUCAAUAAUACAUUUAUUAAUUUUGUAGGAAAUUUCUUCUUCCCUAAGCGGAAAAUACAAAACAAAAACAUAAUUGGCAAUUUCACUAGCAAAACUAAUAAUAUUUUGUUCCAUAUCCAGGGGUAGAGCUCGGGGUAAAUCUUCAUGAGGCCCAAAUUCAAAUUUCAAGUGUUAGCUGGGAAUUAAUUUUAGACAAUUUUUUUAUUUAUUUAUAGCUAGUAUGUAAUUGUUAGGUAUUUCAAAAUUUGAGAAUUUUGUGAUUCUGUGAGAAUGUUGAUUCAAGCAUGUUUGCAUUCUUCUUAUACUAAUAGGAGAUAUUUAAUUUUUACCCUCAAGUCAAUGUCAAUGUGAACGUUCUUUUGUGCUGGAAAUUAAAGGAGUCCCCACAGGAGUCACCGUCUGGGGCUAGCUUUCUGAUCAAUAAUUGAGAAUUUUGCUUGUAGCUACAGGCUGCAGCGAUUUUGAUUUGGCGACUUUGAUUCAUAAUUGAAGUUACUGUUGCAAGUAAAAACUAAAAAAAAUUAACAAAAUAAAAAUCAAAGACUUAGGCCCAUGUUCUAUCGAAAUUUUAAUAAAAGGCUAUUUGUCAUUUUGUCAUAAUGAAAAAAUAAUUAAAAAAAAAUCGAAUUUACUUGAUUUUAUUUUACAAAGUAUAAAUUAAAAUUCUAUUAUAUGUAUAAAGUUUAUACAUCAAGUGUUUAGGGGUCAAAUCAAUCUUUUUAUACCUAAUUUUUAAUAUUUUACUUCGAAACCUCAAAAUUUUUCAAAGUUUGUAGGGUCACAAUCUCCGGAGUGGGCAAAUUUGUGUUCAUAUCAACUUGAAUGGGUUUCGGGUUGAUUAAACUAGAAUUGGAUCAGAUCAAAAAGUAUGAGAGAAAUUAAUUAAGCUUCUCCCAAAAAAAAUACAUUUAGAUGAUUGAUAUAUAACCAUUAAAUAAUAAAUAUAUUAGACAUACUUUUAUUUUUUAGCCCAAAAAGUAUGAGAGAAAUUAAUACUUUCUGAAUUUAUUUUUUGUACCUUAAAGAAUCAAAUUACUCACAAAAUUAUUUUUAACUUUCAUGAUGCAAACAAACAAAUCAUCAUUAAUUUCUAUAGAAAAAAGUAUUCUAGGUAGAAAUGAUUUCUGUAGCAGAAUAUGAUGUAUUUGGGACUUCCAACUCUAUUAGCUAGGUUAAUAACAUGUUAAUUGUCACAUCAUUAGUUUUAGAUUAUAAAUUUUAUAUUCAAACUUUGUAUGACUGCUCCUUUUUCAAUGAUCUAACUAAUUGAUCUUGUUUCAAAAGAAACAAAAAAUAAAAAUAAAAUUAAGUAAUGCCAUGAUCUAAUUGGUCUUGUUAUUGACAUGUACUAAUGCAUUCUAUAUUUCUAAACUUUGUACAUUUUAUUGAUAUGUUUCUCUUGAGAGAUAAGAAUCAUUAUGUGGCAAAAUUUUAUUAAAGCUGGGAUUAUUUAUGUUCUAAUACUUUGAACAUUAAUUUUUAUUCUACUCUUUAGAAUACCUAAAUAAUCCUUACCUAAACAUCUUUCAUAAAUGUUUUUUGCUGGGGCUGCUAAAAUUCAUAAUCGAAUUCUAGUUGAUGUGGCUUGUGUUCCAUCACAUUAAUGUAGAUAAUAAUAGUUAAUUCAAUUAUUUACUUCUAUGCUCUUGUAAUGAAAAUUAACAAAAAGGGCCAAAAGGGAGGCAUUAAUCACAGCAUUGAAGCACCAACCCCAAAUCCCAGGGAAACCAAAUCCCGUGAAAUGAUAAUUCAGUAUCAGAACCAAAACAGCAAAACUAAACACAAACUAAACAAUCUGACAAUCAGUGACCAAUCUGCCGCAACCCCAGAACACACAAUAGAUAGUACCCGUACAUGAUCACAUGCACACUUGCAUUGGUAACAAGCGCAAUUGGAAGCAAAGACCGCUUCGUCUGUAACCAAAUGUAGCACAUUACAACGACGGUUGCAUGGUGGUAGACGUGGAGGAACGUGAGCCGUUGGAUGGAGUUUGACAAAAUGAUCAAAAGGGUGUCUGGGAAUUCGAGUAUUUUUUAGAGUUAAAAAUGUAAGCGUAGAAGCAGAGGGGGCCGUGGGAGAAAUGGUAGGGGGGAAACAGGGGAAGUAGAGGAGGUGAGGUGAGUGGAGGAUGAUCGAGAGGGUGCAACCAGCGGCCAUGAUGAGGGAGAAGAGGAGGAGGGUGAGGUUAUGGAUGGCUGUGAUGGAUCUGAGAAUGUGGGGUCCAAUGAGAGGUGAUGAUGAUGGUGAUGUUGAUGUUGAUGUUGAUGUUGAUGUGUGGCAGAGGAUGGAUGUGAGGGAGAGGUAAGUAACGAUGGAGAUAAUGAGGAUGUGUGGGAAGGAAGCUAGGGCUUGGUUUUGAGUCCAUGUGAAGUUGAGGGUUUGUGGGUGGCUUACAAGCAACAUUGGAGUGUUUAGCUGAUUGAAUUUGAAGCCAUGGCUGGUUCUGGGGGAAGAAAGAUUUGGGAGAGAUGAUGCUCAAGAGGAAUGGGGGAGUUUAGAAAGUUUGGGAUCAUGAGAAGGGUGUUUUGGGCAUUAUUUUUGUCUUAGCUUAAAUUUUUGUUAAGAAAAUAAUAAACUCUUUUCUCGUAUCAAUUUAAAACUCCGAAUAUGUUUCCAAUUCUUCUUCUAUUUUUGGAUUUUGGAUCAUAAUUUUUCAAUUCAAUAACGGCCUUUUUAAUUAUAAAAUAUGGUAAAAGGGGAUGGGAUAUAGUGUCUAGGCCUUUGUUUCAACGGCAUCUUUGGACGCGGGUUUCUUUUUUUUUUGGUUAUUUCUUCUCAAACUUGUGCAGAUUACAUGCACUCAACGUGGAACCCUUUUGAAUGGAAGUUACUGUUUUGCUGGAAUCGGGACCAAUUUUUUGACAAAAAUUUCGUUAUAAAAUAUGCAAUUAAAGUCGAGUAAGAUUAAGUAAAGUAACAUCUUGUAUGGUAAAGUACAUCGAGUAAGGAUUUCUAUAAUCGAGCUAGAAAGUACAAUUAAAAUUAGAUAAGAGUGCCGCGGAGCAUAGUUUUAAAGUUACAGUAUCAAAGUAUUUAAUAAAUAUUAUUAUUAUGACUUAAAAAUUAAGUUGGGGGAUAAAAAAAUCAAUAAUACAUUUAUUAAUUUUGUUAAAAUUAUUAUUUAAAAAUCAUAUAUACAACACAAGAUCAACAUUUAUAUUAUAGUUUCAGUUCCUUUUUCACAAUAACUAUAACUACAACACGGUAGUACUAAAUAGGAAGUCGAGUAUGAUCAAGUAAUUACAUAUUAUGGUUUUUUGGUAUUACAUGAUUCUUCAAACUGAAAUUUGCGAUCAAAAUUGUAUCAAAGAAAUCACAAAGACACUCUGUUUGACAAAUCUGCAGUAGAAUUUGCACAAUUUAAGUGGGUUGCAGAGAGUGAAUAAGAUUCCGAAGCAACAGGCAAUUAUUGUUAUUAAGAAAACAAUUCAUCGCUAGAACAAAAUUAACUUUUCUAACUUACUAGAAUUUAACCGGAGAAAAAUUGGAAUAUACGACGUUGUAACUUGUAUCACAUAUAGUAUUUAGACAUCAAGAAAAGAAUCCCUCUAUCAGUGAACUAUACUUGCCAGGAAACACGGUGAAAUACCACCACCUCCCUACUAGAUUAAUGCAGCAAAAUACUCCAAGAAAUUCACCCAGUCACAUUCUUCCGGACUAUCCUCUUUCUUCGCACUUCAGGAGCUCUUGUUUCCCCUUACAGAGUCGGCAUUCCCUUGUUUGAUGCCAAGGAGCCCAAGCCCAGAGACAAUGGCAUUCUUUGAUAUCAACCACCUUGGGGACUUUUGAGUUGAGCCAUUGACAUCCUGAGAUGGCCUGUUGUAAGCCUUCUUCAAAAGGUCAUCUGACUGAAGUAGCGGAUCCGCUUCCACUACUUGCCAAGCAAGCCUUGAUCUUUCUCCUAAUUGGACAUUCAAAACCCUGCAUGGAAUCCAUUUGAGAAGUUGAACAAUAGACAAAGUCCAACACAUAUAGGCAGUAAAGAAGAAUUUGGACAGCAAUUACUGAUUGUUUACGCACAGGGCUGAACAAAUGGGUAUAUUAAGGCACUUAAAAGUUGGAACCAUAUUCACCACUUGUGUUUCCUUAGGGAACUACCUCAGAGUUCAGUUAAUUUAAAACUAUUCUUACGUAUUUAACUACAAAACUAGAGAAAUCGUACUUCUGUAGCGGAGUCUCACUAUUGUUAAGGAUCUAGACUUGGAAAGUAUGCAAGUUGAUUAGGUAAAGAAAAAUUGAAAUAAUACUUGGUCAUAGAUCAACACACUUCAAUAGAAACCACACUAACAUCAUAUCAGACAAAUAAACAGAUUCCCCCAGUCAAAGUUUAACAAACAAAACAUUAAAACAAGGAUAAGAACAGUGCUACUCCAAUAACAUCAAUAUGGUUGACGACCGCUCUAUCAAAUCCAUUGGAAAUUGUAUACUUAUAAUUUUUUUUUUCAAACUUUGUCUAAAAUAAAUGAAUGAGAUAGGAUAAAUUCGAAUAAAUUAAUCUGCAUAAUGACACAAGAAACAAAUGUAAAUUGACCACAAGUCCACAAGUAGAAAUAUACUUUUGUUAUAUUUAGAGCAUCUUCCAAUUUCUUUCCCUUGAGCUCUGUUUCUUCGAGUGCUCAAAAGCAAGACACAGGCCUCAAGAUAUAAUUAUCAUCAUCAAUCUUUUGCAGCCACAUGCAGUACUUGGAAAAUGUUUACGGCCCUAAAUAACUGGAAAAUCAGAAAACAUUAAGAACAAGAGACUAAUCAUUUUAAUCGCAACGAAACAUGCACACUAUGAAAAUAUAAAAUUGAAUUACUUCGAAUGGAUGUGCCUCUUAACAGGAAUUGCACAAGCUAAUGAGCAAGUGAGCCUUCGAAUGAAAAUCUAAAUCCUUGCAGCCUGCGUCAUGCAGCUUCUCCCAAUGAGUAAGUGAGCCUUGAUCAGUUAUCACUCAGCUCAAACUAAAAUGAAAUUACUGUGGACAUGUGAAUUAAAAAUAGAUAUAAUAGCAGUUUUCUCAAAGCAAAGUCAAGAUAAGCGAUUAACUCUCCUCCGUAAUUACAUUAAAAAUAACAAACAAUGAAAAACAGAGCUAGAGAAGAACUUACCUGUGCGUUGAGACCAUGUGGGGAAUGUAAGAUAUCUUCUUAGAUUUGGUUUGAGAAACCCUGCCAAUUAAAAUUUCGGUCCCCAUGUAGCAGAAUUUCUUAUUUUUCCUUUGUACACAAAUGCAGACACUUAAGCAAAUUAAGAUUUCUUACCUAAAGCAAAUUAGGAUUUCUUUUGACCCUGCAAGUUACAAUUUCAGUCCCCAUGUAAUAGGAAAAUUUUGUGCACAUACUUAUAGCAAAUUAAUAUUUCAUACCUCAUGAUAUUUAUCAUAACCAUCAAUCUUUAGAAACCACAUGCAGACUUGUUAAGCUGUUUAUGGCCCAAAAUAACAGGAAAAUUAGAACAGAUUUUUAAGAAUGAGCGACUAAAUAUUUCAAUGGCAACUAAAAUUACACAUCUUGGAAAUCUAAAACUCAAGUACUCAGAAUGAAUGUGCCUCUUCACAGAAAUUAAACAAGCUGGGAACUUUAGUGCAAAUGCUUUUUCAUAAUCUUCAAUUGCAUAAGUCAGUUAGAAUCAAUCUUUCUUAAUCUUUCAAUUCACAGAUGAGAGCCUGAUAACACAAGGAAACACUGUAAGUGAAUUGGCAACUGUGACAAAUUUUGGGUAAAAAUCAUCAACUGUAGUUAUUCGCAUAACAUACAGUGUCAACACCAAAUUCCUUCCUGAUCCGUGGAAGCAUUUCAGCCCACGGACGGCUUGCUUUGUCAAUAUAUAUCAAGCUUUGUAGCUUUUAAGAAACUGAGAGGUGAAAGACCUGGAAUUUUCGAUAGCAACUCAGGAUUCUAUAUUUAAAUUAUGAUGUUCGAUAACUUACUGAUACAAAAGACAUUGUCCCAAGCACUUUUUUACAGGAGCUAAGAUCAAGCCAGUCACUUCCAUUUGUUGCAGUUUUAACGCAGAAAGAAAAAGGGAGAAAAAAAUCUGCAAGAUACCGCAUGUUCGCGGAAGCAGAGUUGAAUAAUUACAAAAUUACAUUCUUGAUUGCACAGAAAUGAUAUAUAGCAAAACAAGCAUAAGGAAAUAACAAUAUAAUUUUACAUUGUUCAGCUUUUGGUCUACGUCACAGUCAAAGACGUGAAGAGAAUUUUACUAAGAAAUAAGAGUGUACUAAUGUCAAAGAAAAACAUUCACUAAUCGCUGAUAUAUGCUUAAUUUCUCACUCACUCCAAGAAGUUUCAUUCUCCCAUAAUUCACUCAAAUGAAACUUUCAUUGGAAGGUCCUAUUAUUAAGGCUUUAGCAUCACUUCAUAUGCUCAACAAUUCAAAUUUGAGGAUGUUAUUUCACAAAAUGGAGGGCUCUAUUUGGCUUGUGAACAAUCUUCCUCACCAUCACCAUCAUUGCCGUACCAGUAGCACUGAACAAUCCUCAUUCUGACAUUUGCCCCAAUUAUCUGAUUACACAAGAAUCCAAAACAACUGUUAGAAAUUUUAAUCUUUAUAUAUAGCCAAAAUGGUGAAUAAGAUGAUGUACUUGAUAAUAAAAACCUGAUUUAAUAAAUAAUUAAGGGACCGAUAACAAGCACAGAAUCUCAGCGUGUGGGGAAAGCCUUGACAACAGAAGAUGGUGCUUUCAUUCAAGCAAUGAUAACUUUCCAAUUUCAUAAGGUAGCUUAAUGCCCUUUUAAGAAUAUCUGCACCAGCCUGACAAUUAUUCAUGGA